GGAUGUGUGGCCGUUCCGCCACUCUUUAAAACUCCACCCCUCUCUAAGGAAGGGCAGCAGUGGAGAGGGCAGUAGGGAAGGAGAGCUAGAAGACCUGAAUGAAGAUGAACCCUCUUCUCCAGUCAGCACAGCCCAGCUUAGCUCCACACAGGCAUCUGAGCCACCUCCUCCCCUUUAAGAACUAUAUGCCCUUCCCCUUUAAACCCCCAUCUGUACAUUGCCUCUCUCCCAUUAAAUAUAUAAUGCACUCCACUCUUAUGUUCCUGUCCCUCCUCUUCAUCCUUCCCUGAUCUCACCUCACUCCGUCAUUGUGUGUAAUUACCCAAAGAAACACAGAGAACUCCGACAGCAGGAGACCGUACUCAUGGGUUGUUCACCGGUAAACUUAAGACUACUGGAAUCUCUACUGUCUGUCUGUCUGUCUGUCUGUCUGGCUGGCUGUCUGGGUGGCUGGCUGGCUGGCUGUCUCUCUCUCUCUCUCUCUGGAAGUGUGUUGUCACUUUCACGGCUCUGCCAGGGACCAUUACAAUAUGGUGACUAGGAACACCACUAGCAACAACAUCUCUAUAUUCACAACAACACAAUCCCUACAUCUCUUCAGAUUUGAUGCAAUUCUAUUGUGCAAAACGCUCCAUUGAGGACUGAUAGGAGAGGGCAGCGUAUAAAUUAAGGGUCAAUAGCACUUCAGAAUUGAGCCUCUGAUUUAAGCCUCUCAGGCAGAGAUUCAAUCCGAUCGCCUCUUUUAGGCUAUGCACCUUUUAAAGGCAAUGUUCGCUGUGACCACAUUCAUGUUAAACACUGCAUGGGGUGGCAGGGUAGCCUAGUGGUUAGAGCGUUGGACUAGUAAUCAAAAGGUUGCAUAGUUCGGAUCCCCGAGCUGACAAGGUACAAAUCUGUCGUUCUGCUCCUGAACAGGCAGUUAACCCACUGUUCCUAGGCCGUCAUUGAAAAUAAGAAUUUGUUCUUAACUGACUUGCCUAGUUAAACAAAUUAAAAAUAAGUUGCACAAGUGUUGUUAUUGUUGAAGCGUUCAUAAAAUGCACUGAGUUGGUCUUGUAGAGAGGCAUCGCUGGGUAGAUCACGGCUGGGUCUUCCUUUGUAAACCGUAAUGGACUGUAACCCCUGCAACAUACUGCCGGCGUCAGAGCCUGUGAAAUAUGAUUCCACCUAUAUUGUCCUUUUGCUCGUUUGAUGACUGCAGUGGUCAUAGCGGAACUUCUUCUACUUGUUCCUGUCCUCAGCUGUAGCUACAGGGUUGUCUGGGAUAAGUCAUGUUCCUGUCCUCAGCUGUAGCUACAGGGUUAUCUGGGAUAAGUAAUGUUCCUGUCCUCAGCUGUAGCUACAGGGUUGUCUGGGAUAAGUCAUGUUCCUGUCCUCAGCUGUAGCUACAGGGUUGUCUGGGAUAAGUAAUGUUCCUGUCCUCAGCUGUAGCUACAGGGUUGUCUGGGAUAAGUCAUGUUCCUGUCCUCAGCCGUAGCUACAGGGUUGUCUGGGAUAAGUCAUGUUCCUGUCCUCAGCUGUAGCUACAGGGUUGUCUGGGAUAAGUAAUACUGUCCUCAGCUGUAGCUACAGGGUUGUCUGGGAUAAGUAAUGUUCCUGUCCUCAGCUGUAGCUACAGGGUUGUCUGGGAUAAGUCAUGUUCCUGUCCUCAGCUGUAGCUACAGGGUUGUCUGGGAUAAGUCAUGUUCCUGUCCUCAGCUGUAGCUACAGGGUUGUCUGGGAUAAGUCAUGUUCCUGUCCUCAGCCGUAGCUACAGGGUUGUCUGGGAUACGUCAUGUUCCUGUCCUCAGCUGUAGCUUCAGGGUUGUCUGGGAUAAGUAAUGUUCCUGUCCUCAGCUGUAGCUACAGGGUUGUCUGGGAUAAGUCAUGUUCCUGUCCUCAGCUGUAGCUACAGGGUUGUCUGGGAUAAGUCAUGUUCCUGUCCUCAGCUGUAGCUACAGGGUUGUCUGGGAUAAGUCAUGUUCCUGUCGUCAGCCGUAGCUACAGGGUUGUCUGGGAUAAGUCAUGUUCCUGUCCUCAGCUGUAGCUACAGGGUUGUCUGGGAUAAGUUAUGUUCCUGUCCUCAGCUGUAGCUACAGGGUUGUCUGGGAUAAGUCAUGUUCCUGUCCUCAGCUGUAGCUACAGGGUUGUCUGGGAUAAGUCAUGUUCCUGGCCUCAGCUGUAGCUACAGGGUUGUCUGGGAUAAGUAAUGUUCCUGUCCUCAGCUGUAGCUACAGGGUUGUCUGGGAUAAGUAAUGUUCCUGUCCUCAGCUGUAGCUACAGGGUUGUCUGGGAUAAGUAAUGUUCCUGGCCUCAGCUGUAGCUACAGGGUUGUCUGGGAUAAGUAAUAUCAUAGCGGGACUUCUUGUUAUGUUCCCCCGAUUGCAGAGAUUGUAUUCACACUACAGAUACCGGCUCAAUCAUAAAUUAUCUUUAAAUGCUGCAUUGUCGACAGCCAUCGGAUGAAAUCCCGGCCUAAGGAUGCGUCCCUAUGGGCCCUGAUCAAAAGUAGUGCACUAAAUAGGGAAUAGGGUGCCAUAGUAGUGCACUAUAUAUGGACUAGGGUGCUAUAGUAGUGCACUAUAUAUGGACUAGGGUGCUAUAGUAGUGCACUAUAUAUGAACUAGGGUGCUAUAGUAGUGCACUAUAUAUGGACUAGGGUGCUAUAGUAGUGCACUAUAUAUGGACUAGGGUGCUAUAGUAGUGCACUAUAUAUGGACUAGGGUGCUAUAGUAGUGCACUAUAUAUGGACUAGGGUGCUAUAGUAGUGCACUAUAUAUGGACUAGGGUGCCAUUAGGGAUGUACAGUAUAUUAACCCCUGGUGGACGUAUCAGUGCCGUUAGGUGCUGCAGUGAGAGGAUGGAUAGAGGGAUGGUCGUGGAAGGAAACGUUUCCUGUUGGCCAGGUCACAUGGUGUGACGCCAUCUUCACACCCUCUCUUUAUCCCUCCGGGUUUUUUCUUCGUUGCCCUCCAGUUUCACGUGUUUACGGCAGCCAUCUUUAAUUAUCGUCACGCCCUGGCCAUAGAGAGGCUUUUAUUCUCUCUUUUGGUUAGGCCAGGGUGUGACUAGGGUGAGCAUUCUAUGUUCAUUUUCUAUGUUUUGCAUUUCUUUGUUUUUUAGCCGGGUGUGGUUCUCAAUCAGAGGCAGCUGUCUAUCGUUGUCUCUGAUUGAGAACCGUACUUAGGUAGCUUUUUCCCACUGGGUUUUUGUGGGUAGUUGCUUUCUGUUUUUGUGUCUGCACCAGACAGAACUGUUUGGGUUGUUCUCUUUGUUAUUCAGUGUUCAGUUCAACUAAUAAAAUUAUGAACACGUA